UUCAAAUACAACAGACGUUUGCGUGCGCACCACACCCUGCAAAAAAAACCCAAAACAAAACACGUGCUUUCAUACAACGAUUUUGAAAGACGCAGAACAAGGUAUCCACAGGAGUAACACUUCACCAGACAUCUCCAAAGACACAGCCGAGACAAAGAGCUGCCAAGUCUUCAGCCCUCCUGUGCGUCUGUUUCCUCCAUGUGAUCUGUCACCACACGGCACCGGAACGGCCUUUCUGGGACUGCUUCUUAAAGGUGGUGAAAAUGAGGGACAAGAAACUCUAACAUCUGGAAAAGGCAGCCCUUUUUUCCCUGAUUGGUUCGCAGAGAUUUAUUUUAAUGUUUUUUCUUUUUUUAUGUGCUGAAAACAGGGUGCGUGAUCAAACGCUAAAUUAUCUGAAUCACUUUAUUAGCUUCAGAGCACCAUUUAGACUUACAGUAGAAGCAAAUCUGUUGGACAUGCAAUCCCGUUUAAUUAGAAAACAACUUUGGUAAAUUAAGUGAUUUAAAAAAAAAUGUCAAUGCUUUUCUAAAAAAGAUAGUUAAUUUGUUUUAAUUUGCCUAGAUAAUUACCAUGUAAAUUAGCAUUCCCUCUAGGUUUUCCAGUAGUUAGCAAUUUCCACUAUUUUACUCAGAGCACAAAAACACAGAUGUUAUUAAAAAUAAAAACAGGAGAGGUCUCACUGGGGUGUUUGUGGCUAGUUAUGAAAGUGUUUGCGGAUUAUUUCUUUCUUUAGAAAAAGAAAUGCACUUGUGUGAAUGAGUGUAGCAGAACAGUAUAAAAAUAAUUGUGUACCACAGAAUUAAACACUGCAAGGGGAACUUUGACAUUCUCUCUUCUGUGAAGCACAGCAGCGUGAGGAAAAAGCUUGUUAAAAUCCUAAUAGUAGCUAUCAAAGGAUAUUGAUUAUCUUUCCCGCCCUGCAUCUGUGACAAACUGAGCAUUAAUCUCAGUCCUGUGCACAGGGGCUCUUAGGACACAUUUCCACCAGGAUAAAGACUUCCCUAAGGCAAGAAAAGUGUAAAAUAAACAGACCCACGAGCUUUCUCUUAGCCAGUCCAGCAUCCCAUAAUCCACUUUAGUUGUGUGGAUCAAACAUUCUAUUGAGCUGCCUGGAGGCAGCACUGGCACAAGUACUGGCUCUGAAACACCCAGGAGGGGCACACUCUCAUUCUACUGCCACACUUCAUUGGUGUAAAUGCUUUAUAAUUCAGACAUUUGCAAUACUUCCAAUGGAAACAACACGGAAUACAUGUACUUUCUAAUAUUCCUAUAUUUCACUUAUUAUUUCAGUUAUCACUUGACUGUUUCUUUAUGACUUAAUAAAUGCUAAAAGAAACUA